rnacentral:sRNA from 1 species
CCCGGCAAUGAAUUGCCGGGCUAUUUUCAGAUGUUCCUACAGGACA